GAAAGAAUAUCGGAGACGGAUGGGCAUGCGGCGCAUUAGCUAGUUGGCGGGGUAACGGCCCACCAAGGCGACGAUGCGUAGGGGUUCUGAGAGGAAGGUCCCCCACACUGGUACUGAGACACGGACCAGACUCCUACGGGAGGCAGCAGUGAGGAAUAUUGGUCAAUGGGCGAGAGCCUGAACCAGCCAAGUCGCGUGAGGGAGUACUGCCCUAUGGGUUGUAAACCUCUUUUGUCGGGGAGCAAAAGCCGGACGUGUCCGGCUGUGAGAGUACCCGAAGAAAAAGCAUCGGCUAACUCCGUGCCAGCAGCCGCGGUAAUACGGAGGAUGCGAGCGUUAUCCGGAUUUAUUGGGUUUAAAGGGUGCGCAGGCGGAUUUUUAAGUCAGCGGUCAAAUCGUGGGGCUCAACCCCAUCCAGCCGUUGAAACUGGGGAUCUAGAGUGUGCGAGAGGUAUGCGGAAUGCGUGGUGUAGCGGUGAAAUGCAUAGAUAUCACGCAGAACCCCGAUUGCGAAGGCAGCAUACCGGUGCACAACUGACGCUCAGGCACGAAAGCGUGGGUAUCGAACAGGAUUAGAUACCCUGGUAGUCCACGCAGUAAACGAUGAAUGCUACCUGUUUGGCCAG
rnacentral:rRNA from 1 species